CGGGAGUGGGCGCGCGCGGGGAAAGGCCCCGAAAACACCUUAGUUUGCACCGAGAGACCAUUUGCCGCGGCUUCAAUUGUCCUAAAAAGAAACAGAAAAGGAAAGUAUUAUACAUCUACAUAGAUAUGGACACCUACAGAGUGGUAUGUAGUAAAUAAGAGAAUUUCAUGUCUUUACAAAUACAUCCAAAAGAGAACCACUUCAAACACAGGGGAUUUUAG
rnacentral:lncRNA from 1 species